rnacentral:rRNA from 1 species
AUUGAACGCUGGCGGCAGGCCUAACACAUGCAAGUCGAGCGAGCGGCGGACGGGUGAGUAAUGUCUGGGAAACUGCCUGAUGGAGGGGGAUAACUACUUGAAACGGUAGCUAAUACCGCAUACCAUCGGAUGUGCCCAGAUGGGAUUAGCUAGUAGGUGGGGUAACGGCUCACCUAGGCGCCGAUCCCUAGCUGGUCGGAGAGGAUGACCAGCCACACUGGAACUGAGACACGGGCCAGACUCCUACGGGAGGAGGAAGUGGGGAAUAUUGGACAAUGGGCGAAAGCCUGAUGCAGCCAUGCCGCGUGUAGGAAGAAGGCCUUCGGGUGGUAAAGUACUUUCAGCGGGGAGGCGUUACCCGCAGAAGAAGCACCGGCUAACUCCGUGCCAGCAGCCGCGGUAAUAC